AACUUAUGACCUUGUGCGCCUGGCCCGUUGUUUUACACAACGCUGUGACGGGUGCACGGGUCAUCCUUCUGGAGAUUGCCUCUGACCUUAACCGGUUGGUCGCAUGAUCCAGAUCAUUUACUGUGAGAAAAACAGGGUGUUCAAAGCAGGCUAAGAUGCUUGAAUGCGUUAGCAUGGAAUAAUAAGAUAGGACUUGGGUUCUAUUUUGUUGGCUUUCAGAACCAAAGUAAUGAUUAAUAGGGAUAGUUGGGGGUGCUCGUAUUUAACGGUCAGCGGUGAAAUGCAUGGACCCGUUAAAGACGAACUUAUGCGAAAGCAUU
rnacentral:rRNA from 1 species